rnacentral:rRNA from 1 species
UACGGAGGGGGCUAGCGUUGUUCGGAAUUACUGGGCGUAAAGCGCACGUAGGCGGCUUUGCAAGUCAGAGGUGAAAGCCCGGGGCUCAACCCCGGAAUUGCCUUUGAGACUGCAGGGCUAGCAGGUGAGAGAGGUGAGUGGAAUUCCGAGUGUAGAGGUGAAAUUCGUAGAUAUUCGGAAGAACACCAGUGGCGAAGGCGGCUCACUGGCUCAUACUGGACGCUGAGGUGCGAAAGCGUGGGGAGCAAACAGG